CUAAAUAACGGUAACCACAAACUCAAAAAUAUAACAAACUCUACAAAACCUUAAAGAUAAAUGAACAUUAAACAACAAGUGUUUCUUUUGACUGAAAAAUGCAUAAAAUAACACUUAUUUAAGAAAAUAACUCUCAAAAUGCAAUCAAACGCAAAGCAUGCUGGGAAAUGUAAGUCCUCUGCCCAAUUGUAACUAUUUUAUGGUAACACAACUCCUUUAUGUUGUCCCAAUAUGAAUGGAUUCAGUUAUUAUGACUAAAUAUAAAAAAUCAUGUUGUGACCAAAUUUUCCAAAAGAUGUGUUAAUUUAACUUAAGUAAGUUAAGUAAAUUGGACAAGCAUCAAAAAUCUUUUUUUCAGUGUACGUGCUCACAAAAAGUAACCCGCUGGAUGGAAAAGGAAUUCACAUUACUGUCGUUGAUGAAAACGGAAAACUGAUUGAGGAAUUAAGGGGUGGAUUCCUUAGCUGCACCUUGCUUCCAAUUAUUAAUCAGCAAAUAUCUUCCAAUAAGAACAAUCAUUUAAAUAUGAUAUUCUUCUGUAUACUUCGUUCAAUCUGGAUCAGACUCUUGUCAAAUUCAUCAGCUCAGGCAUUCCAAAAGCUGCCCUGAAAAAAAUAAUUUCAAAAUUGACCAGAAAUAAUGAAAAACAAAUAAAAGAUUGUUGGUAUGCUUUGUGGAGAGAUAAUUGCUUAGCUCAUACAAAACUGUACAGGACAGGAAGCUAUCAGCAGACUCACUGAGGUGUGUAACGCUGCAACAGAGCUCAUGGAAAAAGCGAAACUGUCAGGUGUUCAUGAAACAGCAAAGCUGCUUCUGAGAGUAACUGAGAGCUCAGCACAUUUCUAUCACAUACUGGGAGCCAUAAUGAGAUAUUAGACAAGAAAUUUGUUCCUGAAUUACUGGAGAGCAUCAAUGAGCUUCAGACAGAAAUGACAAAGUAUGACCAAGAUGGACGACACAAUUUAAGUGAUGUAAAACGCCUUUGAACUACAGGUGAACUACAGGAAAUUGCUCAGAAGGUUUUUGAGAAAUUCAUCAAAUCCUGUUGUGGACAUAUGACUUGUUUAAUGACCUGCACAUUUAAGAACGAGUUAAACAUUGCUGCAGGAAACGUGGUGGACAAAGUCAUGCGCAGAAAUAAAACUCAAAGUUUCUUUGAUGACCAGAGAGAAAAACACAACAAUAAAUCUGUCAGAUGAGGACAAAACAAAACUAAAGCAGUAUACAGAAGAUAAAUGCAAAGCAGAUCAGCCCACUAUAGCCUUCAAUGUGUACCUGCUCACAAAAAGUAACCUGCUGGAUGGUAAAGUAAUUCAUUUUUCUGUCAUCGAUGAAAAUGGAAAACAACCGACUGAGGAACAUCACCCGGGAACCAACAAAUCAUAUUAAACGAGUCUAAAAAAGACCAACAUCCAUCACAAGAUGGAUCACAGCUAUACAGCGGCCGUUUUGACAUUGUACAGGAUGAUGGCGAGAUGAUCAGCAUCAACUCAGAUGAUCAGAAUGGUCUCUAUCAGGCUGUAGUACAAGCAACUGGCACGAAGACAAAAGACCCGAAGAAGGAAGCUUUGAUGCUACGUGAGAAAGUGAAAAAUGAGAUCCAGACAAACCUUCAAUCGUACAUGCCGCUACUUAUUCUCCAGAGAGAAUAUGACCUUUCUAACAAAACCCCAAGAAAUACAGCCUAACUGGAGGAAGUAAAAAUGAGACAAACACUGAAUUAUUCCUGAAUUACUGGAGAGCAUCAAUGAAGCUCAUUGACAGAAAUGAAAAAGUAUAACCAAGAUGGACGAGACAAUUUAAAUGAUGUAAAACGCCCUAAAAGAGAACUUCUACAGGUUAUCACUCAGAAGGUUUCUGAGCAAUUCAUCAUGUCACACAGGAACCAACAAAUCAGCAGGCGAUAUAAAACUGAGAUUAACCAAAUCUGCAAAAGACCAACAUCCAUCACAAUACCUUUUUAAAAACAGAGCUGGAUCACAGCUGUACAGCGGCCGUUUUGACAUUGUACAGGAUAAUGGCAGCAUGAUCAGCAUCAACUCAGAUGAUCAGAAUGCUCUCUAUCAGGCUGUAGUACAAGCA